rnacentral:rRNA from 1 species
CGAACGGGUGAGUAACGCGUGGGAAACCUGCCCUUGAGCGGGGGAUAACGUUCCUAACGGGGCGCUAAUACCGCAUAAUACCGGAUUCAGGCAUCUGUAACCGGUCAAAGAUGGCCUCUCUUUGAAGCUGUCACUUAAGGAUGGUCCCGCGUCCGAUUAGCUUGUUGGUGGGGUAACGGCCUACCAAGGCUACGAUCGGUAGCCGGCCUGAGAGGGUGUCCGGCCACACUGGGACUGAGAUACGGCCCAG